GACGAACGCUGGCGGCGUGCUUAACACAUGCAAGUCGAACGGAAAGGCCCUGCUUUUGUGGGGUGCUCGAGCGGCGAACGGGUGAGUAACACGCGAGUAUCAUGCCCUUGUCUUUGGGAUAACUUCAGGAAACUGGGGCUAAUACAGGAUAGGAGCUCCUGAUGCAUGGGGGGGGUUGGAAAGAGUCGGCGGUUGGGGAUGGACUAGCGGCUUAUCAGCUGGUUGGUGGGGUAGUGGCUUACCAAGGCUUUGAAGGGUAGCCGGCCUGAGAGGGUGAACGGGCACAUUGGGACUGCGAGACGGCCCAGACUCCAACGGGAGGCAGCAGUGGGGAGUAUUACGCAGUGGGCGGAAGCGUGUGGCAGCAACCCCGCGUGCGUGAUGACGUCCUUCGGGUUGUAAACCGCUUUCGCCUGUGACGAAGCGUUAGUGACGGUACUGGGUAAAGAAGCACCGGCUAACUACGUG
rnacentral:rRNA from 1 species